GAUGAACGCUGGCGGCGUGCCUAAUACAUGCAAGUCGAGCGAACAGACGAGGAGCUUGCUCCUCUGACGUUAGCGGCGGACGGGUGAGUAACACGUGGAUAACCUACCUAUAAGACUGGGAUAACUUCGGGAAACCGGAGCUAAUACCGGAUGAUAUAUUGAACCGCAUGGUUCAAUAGUGAAAGACGGUUUUGCUGUCACUUAUAGAUGGAUCCGCGCCGCAUUAGCUAGUUGGUAAGGUAACGGCUUACCAAGGCAACGAUGCGUAGCCGACCUGAGAGGGUGAUCGGCCACACUGGAACGGAGACACGGUCCAGACUCCUACGGGAGGCAGCAGUAGGGAAUCGUACGCAAUGGGCGAAAGCCUGACGGAGCAACGCCGCGUGAGUGAUGAAGGUCUUCGGAGCGGAAAACUCUGUUAUUAGGGAAGAACAAAUGUGUAAGUAACUAUGCACGUCUUGACGGUACCUAAUCAGAAAGCAACGGCUAACUACGUG
rnacentral:rRNA from 1 species